UGGGAGUAGGUUCGCAAGAAUGAAACUCAAAGGAAUUAAUGGGGGCCCGCACAAGCAGUGGAGCAUGUGGUUUAAUUUGAUACAAAGCAAAGAACCUUAAGAGGGCUUGACAUGCCGCGAAUCCUCUUGAAAGAGAGGGGUGCCCUCGGGAACGCGGACACAGGUGGUGCAUGGCUGUUGUCAUCUCGUGCCGUAAGGUGUUGGGUUAAGUCUCACAAUGAGCGCCACCCUCGUGUUUAGUUGCCACUAUGAGUUUGGAACCCUGAAAAGACCGCCGGUGUUAAGCCGGAGGAAAGAGAGAAUGAGGCCAAGUCAUCAUGCCCCUUAUGCCCUGGGCGACACACGUGCUACAAUGGGCGGGACAAAGGGUCGCGAUCUCUCAAGGGUGAGCUAAAUCCAAAAACCCGUCCUCAGUUUGGAUUCCAGGCUGCAACUCGCUUGCAUGAAGCAGGAAUCGCUAGUAAUUGUCGGUCAGCCAUACGGCGGUGAAUCCGUUCCCGGGCCUUGUACAUACCGCCCGUCACACUAUAGGAGCUGGCCAUGUUUGAAGUCAUUACCCUUAACCGUAAGGAGGGUGAUGCCUAAGGCUAGGCUUGCGACUGUAGUGAAAUCGUAACAAGGUAGCCAUACUGGAAGGUGCGGCUG
rnacentral:rRNA from 1 species